UGUGUGUGUGUAGGGGGAGAAAAAGAAAAGAGAACAAUUCAUCUUUAUUCUUAUUCAUGUGAAGAGAAAAAUCUAAGAAGAUACGAACUAAAAAGCCAAUGAGAACCUGACACAGAGAGGUUCCACGACUUGUCCCAGGCCCCCAGGUCUUCUGUCGCUAGCCGCCACUAGUCCUACAACGAGUGUCUAAUCCCACUUUGUGGGGUCCACUGUAGGCCCACAUAGCAGCCUAUGAACCCCAAGGUACAAAGGAGCUCUGGGUCUAACUGUGGUCAUCUCAUCGAUACUGCAACGUGCAUUUCAGCAUCUCCAGGAUUAUGGUGCUGGAUCACCAACGCAGGCAGAAGCUAAAUUCUACCAGGCUUUGGCCCUCUUGGUGGUACAAAGAAUGGGUGACUCUUAAAGGCCUCAGACACUGCCGUAUGUAGAAACCAAGCAGCAGCAGCAGCAGCCUUCACCACAGCCUCUCCCAAAGCCAUGGGAACUGUCCGUGGUGCUAGCUGAAUGCAGAGGUCAUGAUGCUGGUUGGGCACAAAGGCCUGGGUCUGGCUUCGGGUGGGGCUCACAGGAGGGGCAACUUCAACACUAGGAGACAUACCCACCUCAUCUAGUGCAUUUUAAAAUAACACUUCCUCUCCAUCAGCUCCCCCCAGAAGAACCAUGUUUCAGGGGCUGGAAAAACAGCUCAGUGGGGAAGGGCUACAAGAGGGCCUGAGUCUGGAUCCCAAGCACUCAUGAAAAAGAUAUGGGUAUGGUCGCAAGCAUCCGUAACCAUGAGGAUGUGGAAAGCAGGAACAGGACGGUCACUGUGGCUUGCUGGCUACCAGCCUGGACCCUGGCUCAAUUCAGUGACAGAGAGCAGGACAUCUGACGUCUUCCUUUGACCUCCAUAAGACAAUGGCAUGAACACUUGUAUUCUGUACACACACACACACACACACACACACAC